rnacentral:tRNA from 2 species
CGGCGAGUAGCGCAGCUUGGUAGCGCAACUGGUUUGGGACCAGUAGGUCGGAGGUUCGAAUCCUCUCUCGCCGACCA